rnacentral:sRNA from 1 species
UUUUCCCCAUAUUGCCAGGCACGACAGAAGUGAUACUCUCAUUGGCUAGCCCAGCAAGGAGAGAAAAUGACCACUCUGGAAAAAUCUGUCAUCUUGGGAGGAGCCUGGUGUAGCCCAGAAGACAAAAAGAAGAGAGAAUGAAGGAGACAGGACCAGGAGGAGAAAGCGCCCCGUGACCACGUAACCACGUGCCAGUUGGAUUAGGAGCACUCUCCCGGAUUCAUUCAUCUUGUCCUCGGAUUUAUGGGCAGGAGAAGGACACUCAAACAAAGCACAGGGAAGAGGAAGUCUGGAUGCCACAUGGUACUGAAACACCAAUGGGGGAGUGUAAUUAUCCAAGGCUGAGUUUGAUCUGGGAUGAAGGUUGACACUCCUCAGCUUGAGUGCAGUGCCCUGGAAUCCGUGUGUCUAUUGACAUAGUCCACAUUGCAAGUCCCUGGCUCACCUCAAAGUGUUGGCAGCAACUCCAUACCAAGGCCCACCUGGGUACUCGUGUCCCUGACCCACAGGGCAGAGAGCCACAUGCUGAGUCAUCAAUUCCUUCAAAGCUGAGCCAAGAGCCACAGGGCUAGGCCACCCUGUUUUUUUCCUUUGCUAUCUUGACCAAAACACCACAGAGAGCUGAGUGGCUGGACCAGAGCACCACAGGCUGAUGCUUCAAUGGUCCUUUUUAACUUGAGGACAUCUUUAUUAAGAUGAGCAAUAAACUUUUAACUUGUUGGUUUGUAGUAAUGGACACAGAGGUCACCUGGUUGACUUGAGGCAUUUUACAGAUGCGAAGCGGUGACAUGUUUUGCUCAAGUCAUCCAGCUGGCCAAACCAGUAGCAAACCAAGUCUCUUGGUCAUCCGCACACUAACCUCCCCAGGUAGAGUCCUCUUUCUAUCUCCUAACACCAGCAGCUUUUAACCACUCUCUUUUUCAGAGUACAUUCUAUUGAAGUAAAAUGUCUGGUUCCAGGGAUUCUUAGGCAUCUUUCUGAGACAGCAGGCUGAUCUGAGAGUAAGCCUAACUCCAUUUCAGCAAGUGAUGGUCUACAUGAUAUUGGAAAACACAAGGUCAAGUUGGUGCUUUGUUUGUGGAAAACACAAACUCAUGUCUGUGAAGAGCUUCACAGAGACAACACCAACCAGCCACACCUAAGUCACUAUUGUCACAACUCAGGGUAUCACUGGAAGACACAGACAGUUCUGCCAAUGGUUGAUGCUACUCUUGUCUUGUCCCACUGGGCUAGUAUGUUAAGUAGAAUAUGGAAUUUUCUACUAGACAUCUGGACCUUUGUUGAGCCCCAGAUGAACAUAUGAAGUGAUACUUUUUAAAAAUCUGUAAAAUUAAAAG